GAGUUGAUCGUGGCUCAGGAUGAACGCUGGCGGCGUGCCUAACACAUGCAAGUCGAACGGGUUAUUUGGAAGUUCCUUCGGGGACUGGAAUCUAUAACCUAGUGGCGGACGGGUGAGUAACGCGUGAGCAAUCUGCCUUUAGGAGGGGAUAACAGUCGGAAACGGCUGCUAAUACCGCAUAAUACGUUUGGGAGGCAUCUCCCUAACGUCAAAGAUUUUAUCGCCUUUAGAUGAGCUCGCGUCUGAUUAGCUAGUUGGCGGGUAACGGCCCACCAAGGCGACGAUCAGUAGCCGGACUGAGAGGUUGAACGGCCACACUGGGACUGAGACACGGCCCAGACUCCUACGGGAGGCAGCAGUGGGAAUAUUGCGCAAUGGGGGCAACCCUGACGCAGCAACGCCGCGUGAUUGAAGAAGGCCUUCGGUUGUAA
rnacentral:rRNA from 1 species